AAACAAAGGAAAAAAAUGUCGUCCAUGAAGAAUGUUUAAAAGUCGCAGUAUGUGAAGGUUUAGCGGCAUUGGUGAACCCCUGUCAUUGUUGUUAAUACAAACUCCACUCAUCAUAGAUUUAGCUAUUUUAGCUCCAGAUUUAGCUCCCGGUGUGAGUGCUGAUUGUACUCAAACAAAGAAAAAAAAAUGUCGUCCAUGAAGAAGGUUUAAAAGUCGCAGUAUGUGAAGGUUCAAGCGGCAUUGGUGAACCCCUGUCAUUGUUGUUAUAACAAACUCCACUCAUCACAGAUUUAGCUAUUUUAGCUCCAGGUGUGAGUGAAGAUAAACCCAAGAGAAAAACACAUCAAAUCAUACCGCCUGGAUCAACCCGGUACAUCACAAAUGAAUCUACACAAAGCCAAGAUUAGCCCAGUAGUUGCAUUUAUCUCAAAAAUGUAUCAAAGUAAGAACUGAUUUUAUAUAAUAAGUAUUUUUUAUCAAUAAGUCUUACUGUUUGAAUAUUUUAUCAAUUCUAAUAUCUAAUUUGAUGUAACACAGUAGGUAUUUUUUUUUUUUUAAAUUGUAUAAAUAUAUAAAAUAGUAGGUAUUAUAGGUGUGUUAAAAUAAGAUCUUUAA